GCCUGCUCCCUGAGACCUCAAGUGUGAGCGGAUUCCUAGAUGCUUCACACCUGGGCUCUCCGGGUACCAGG
rnacentral:pre_miRNA from 1 species